rnacentral:rRNA from 1 species
AAUAUUGGACAAUGGGGGCAACCCUGAUCCAGCCAUGCCGCGGGUGUGAAGAAGGUCUUCGGAUGGUAAAGCACUUCAAGUUGGGAGGAAGGGCUUUAGGUUAAUACCCUGAAGUUAUGAAGUUACCAACAGAAUAAGAACCGGCUAACUCUGUUCCAGCAGCCGCGGUAAUACAGAGGGUGCAAGCGUUAAUCGGAAUUACUGGGCGUAAAGCGCGCGUAGGUGGGUCAGUAAGAUGGGUGUGAAAUCCCCGGGCUUAACCUGGGAACUGCUUUCAUAACUGCUGAGCUAGAGUACGGUAGAGGGUAGUGGAAUUUCCUGUGUAGCGGUGAAAUGCGUAGAUAUAGGAAGGAACACCAGUGGUGAAGGCGACUACCUGGACUGAUACUGACACUGAGGUGCGAAAGCGUGGGGAGCAAUC